UUCUUCUCUCUUUCUCUUGUAGAUUGUCUACAAAGCCUGGCUGUGUUCCCAGUAUUUUGAAGUCACGCAGUUUAACUGCAGAAAGACAAUUCCUUGCAAGCAAUACUGUUUGGAGGUCCAGACGAGGUGUCCGUUUAUAUUGCCCGACAAUGACGAAGUCAUCUAUGGAGGCCUCUCCAGCUUCAUCUGCACAGGGCUCUACGAAACCUUCAUAACCAAUGAUGAACCCGAAUGCUGUGACGUCAUCAGCGAGGAGCAAUCCACAUCCCGAGCCAAAGGGACUAAAGACAGAAGGGGUUCCUGUUCCAGGACGUCGCUCACAGUGUCCUCGGCUACGAGACUGUGUCCCGGCCGGCUCAAGCUGUGCGUCCUUGUAUUGAUUCUCCUGCACACAGUGCUCACAGCCUCGGCUGCGCAGAACACCACGGGCCUGGGCCUGGGAGGCCUCCCCGCGCUCGAGGACAACUCCACCCAGGAGGACUGAGCUCCACACUCGUGCGCACAGCGACCUGAGCGGUCCAAGUGCGCACUUCUGCAGGAGAGGCGCACGCGCGUGCGCAGAGCAGCAGCGGCCCACCCGGGAGGCGCACCUGCUGUCCACUGAACAGAACCCGGGGGCUUUUACCCUCUGACUUCUUGCAAGGCCUUUGGGGUAAAAUUUAAAAGAUGGGCCCGAUUCCAAACAAGGACACGACCGCAGCUUUUUAUUGACUGAAAGGCUGCAAAGUGACUCAAUUUCUCACACCAUUUUAUACACUGUGUUUUAAUGUUGAGGUUUUCUUUGCUUUCGGUUCGGUUUGGGUUUAUUUGUUUGUUUAUUUUUUCUGCACUUGUUAAUACAGGAUUUCUUUUGGGGGAUGGUUUCUCAGAGGUAAACUAAGUCUCUUCACUGUCUAUCUAUCUAUCUAUUUCUAUCAUUGUGUGUUCAUCAGAUAGUUCUGUCUCUAUGUCCUGUCAGUUUCUAUUAGAGGAAUGAGCUAUGACCUCAUGGUAUAGCAAAAAAACAACAACAACAAAAAAAGAAUUAAAAAAAGAUAAAAAAGACAAAAAAAAGAAAACAACAAAAAAUAAAAAAUAAAAAAAAAUCCCUAAGCCUCCUUCCAACCCAUGGACGCCACGCCCUGCAGGCUGUCCUUGCCCUUGCCCUCUUCUGUCCCCCAAGCAGACAACAUCCGCUUGCUUCUGUCUGUGUAUCGCAGUGGUGGGAGUGUGCUCUUGCACAAACUGAGCAGAACAUGGCGGAGCCAGGGGGCCUGGUGGGGUUGCUUUCAGAUGAACCAACAGUGCGCUCCAUGAGAUUGGAAUCAGGCAGUUCACAUGUUUUUUUGUUGAAAACACAAUAAAAGAAAAAAAAUGCUGUCAUGAACUGAGUCGCUCCAGUUGGCAUUUCCAGUCCUUUCUCGCUGGUCAGGCGGACAGGAACCGCCUGUAGCCAAUGAGGUGGGGAGCGAAGAAAAAGCCGCUCACAGCCUCCUCACUGAUCCCGGAGCGCAUUUUGGCCAUUGUAAAGGGAGCAAAGAGACCAUGAACACAAAUCGAGACUUCUGUUCCUCCUUUAUCAUGGUGGAAGGGAUUCUAGAAACUCUCAAACAUCUGCAAUAUACAGAAUAUGUACAAUUUUAUCCCAGUAUUUCUCAACAUAGAGUUCCAAAUUAUUCCAGGUACAAGAUGUAUGCAACUCUGCAUUAUCACAGAGGAACAACUUCUUAAAAAAAAAAAUACAAACCAAUAGAUCAGCCAUUUUUAUUACAGUGCAAAAACUUUCUCACUCCAGCACGCCUAGGCGGUUGAUGUAAAGAGAAGUCUGGUAACUCUGUUUGUACUUUUUUUUCCUUUGUGGGAACAUUUCACCCGCUGAGUGUAUACGAAUUUGCUUUCUAAAAAGGCUUUUAUGAGUUUACAGUAGAAUCAGUGGAAGGAAGAGUUAAUAAGGGCUGUUUUUACAAAACAAACAAACAAAACAAAUAAUUUUAAAAAGACACUUUACAUUCCUUCCUAUUCUCUAACAACAUUUGGGAAGUGCACUUCGGAUGUUUGCUGUGUGGAGAUGAAGGAAAUCCAUAGAAAAAGGUCCUCUUAGCGAACAAAAUUUAGUUAUUAACUUUAUAGCUAUGAAACUCCCCCAGGCAUUUGUUUUUGUUCAAACAGACUGUCCUCUGCAUCAUGCUUUUAACCCUGCGACACGCGUACAGUAUGCAUAUUUUGUUUUGAAUAAAAUGUUUUGUUCCAGUCUGUUAAGAAUAUUAAAAAUAAUAAAGGUAUUGCUUAAUAAAA